UUAUUUUGCUUUCACCUUUGCCUUUGUAUCAGAAAAAGCAGUUCCAACAAGUUAAAUGACCAACGGCUGCUGAGGUGUUGAAUUUGAUAUUGUGUUUUCUGCUAGUUAACUCGGUGUAUCUUCUAGCUGGGCAUAUUGAUGGAGAACAACCCUAGUUCAUCAAGGACUGACCGAAAAACCAUUGAGAGAAACAGGAGAAAUCAGAUGAAGGACCUAUACUCCCAGCUUUAUUCUCUUGUACCCCAUCAAACCUCAAGGGGGCUGCAGGAAGUGACAUCGCUGCCGGAUCAACUAGAUGAAGCUGCAAACUAUAUAAAGAGGCUACAGACAAAGUUGGAGAGAAUGAAGGAGAAGAAAAACAAUCUAAUGGGAAUUCAUGAAAAGUCAAACGCAAGCACCGAUUGUGGAAUGACGAUGGGUUUUAAGCCACCACAAAUUGAGAUUCACGAAGUGGGUUCUGCUUUAGAGGUUGUUUUAAUAACUGGGUUAGAUUUUCAGUUUAUGUUCAAUGAGACUAUUCGCGUGCUUCAUGAAGAGGGAGCUGAGAUUGUUAAUGCCAGCUUCACUGUUGUUGAAGAUACAGUGUUCCACACAAUUCAUUCUAAGGUUGGGGAUUCUGCAUUGGGUUAUGGAGCUGCAGGCAUAUAUGAGAGACUAAAUAAGUUUGUCAGUGAUGCCAGUGGAAUUUGAAGUACGACUGUGUUAUAUUUACUCAUAAUAUUUACAUAAUUGGUCAAAAGUCGAUCUGGACGUGAGGUCAAUAUGGAAAAUAAGGCAUCCCGUGAAAAGGUUUAAGGAAGAUGAGAAGGUGCUUUCUAACACUUGGAGGGCUUGUUUAUUUGCGAAGAUGACUAAAGAACAACGUCGGUUUUGAGGGGUGCAUGCAAGAAAUAAUUUUGAAUAGACAACAAAUCUAAGAUUGCACUUUUUUUUUCUUUCUAUCCUUGGUCUUCUCAUAAUGAUGUGUAUGACUCAUCCAAAUAAGAAUAGUGAUUUAUUUGUAUGUCAACAAAUAAUUUAGGUCCCAAUGUCAUAUUCAAAUAAGGCAGCGUGUGUCACUG